rnacentral:tRNA from 1 species
GGAAGCGUAACUCAGUUGAUUAGAGUACCCGUCUGAUACGCGGGUUGUCGAAGGUUUGAGUCCUUCCGCUUCCACCA